rnacentral:rRNA from 1 species
AUGAACGCUAGCUACAGGCUUAACACAUGCAAGUCGAGGGGCAGCAUGGUCUUAGCUUGCUAAGGCCGAUGGCGACCGGCGCACGGGUGAGUAACACGUAUCCAACCUGCCGUCUACUCUUGGACAGCCUUCUGAAAGGAAGAUUAAUACAAGAUGGCAUCAUGAGUCCGCAUGUUCACAUGAUUAAAGGUAUUCCGGUAGACGAUGGGGAUGCGUUCCAUUAGAUAGUAGGCGGGGUAACGGCCCACCUAGUCUUCGAUGGAUAGGGGUUCUGAGAGGAAGGUCCCCCACAUUGGAACUGAGACACGGUCCAAACUCCUACGGGAGGCAGCAGUGAGGAAUAUUGGUCAAUGGGCGAGAGCCUGAACCAGCCAAGUAGCGUGAAGGAUGACUGCCCUAUGGGUUGUAAACUUCUUUUAUAAAGGAAUAAAGUCGGGUAUGGAUACCCGUUUGCAUGUACUUUAUGAAUAAGGAUCGGCUAACUCCGUGCCAGCAGCCGCGGUAAUACGGAGGAUCCGGGCGUUAUCCGGAUUUAUUGGGUUUAAAGGGAGCGUAGAUGGAUGUUUAAGUCAGUUGUGAAAGUUUGCGGCUCAACCGUAAAAUUGCAGUUGAUACUGGAUAUCUUGAGUGCAGUUGAGGCAGGCGGAAUUCGUGGUGUAGCGGUGAAAUGCUUAGAUAUCACGAAGAACUCCGAUUGCGAAGGCAGCCUGCUAAGCUGCAACUGACAUUGAGGCUCGAAAGUGUGGGUAUCAAACAGGAUUAGAUACCCUGGUAGUCCACACGGUAAACGAUGAAUACUCGCUGUUUGCGAUAUACAGCAAGCGGCCAAGCGAAAGCGUUAAGUAUUCCACCUGGGGAGUACGCCGGCAACGGUGAAACUCAAAGGAAUUGACGGGGGCCCGCACAAGCGGAGGAACAUGUGGUUUAAUUCGAUGAUACGCGAGGAACCUUACCCGGGCUUAAAUUGCAGAUGAAUUACGGUGAAAGCCGUAAGCCGCAAGGCAUCUGUGAAGGUGCUGCAUGGUUGUCGUCAGCUCGUGCCGUGAGGUGUCGGCUUAAGUGCCAUAACGAGCGCAACCCUUGUUGUCAGUUACUAACAGGUUCCGCUGAGGACUCUGACAAGACUGCCAUCGUAAGAUGUGAGGAAGGUGGGGAUGACGUCAAAUCAGCACGGCCCUUACGUCCGGGGCUACACACGUGUUACAAUGGGGGGGUACAGAGGGCCGCUACCACGCGAGUGGAUGCCAAUCCCAAAAACCUCUCUCAGUUCGGACUGGAGUCUGCAACCCGACUCCACGAAGCUGGAUUCGCUAGUAAUCGCGCAUCAGCCACGGCGCGGUGAAUACGUUCCCGGGCCUUGUACACACCGCCCGUCAAGCCAUGGGAGCCGGGGGUACCUGAAGUGCGUAACCGCGAGGAGCGCCCUAGGGUAAAACUGGUGACUGGGGCU